AUUGAACGCUGGCGGCAUGCUUUACACAUGCAAGUCGAACGGUAACAGGGAGCUUGCUCCGCUGACGAGUGGCGAACGGGUGAGUAAUGCAUCGGAACGCGCCGUGUAAUGGGGGAUAACGUAGCGAAAGUUACGCUAAUACCGCAUACGCCCUGAGGGGGAAAGUGGGGGACCGCAAGGCCUCACGUUAUACGAGCGGCCGAUGUCGGAUUAGCUAGUUGGUGGGGUAAAGGCCUACCAAGGCGACGAUCCGUAGCGGGUCUGAGAGGAUGAUCCGCCACACUGGGACUGAGACACGGCCCAGACUCCUACGGGAGGUAGCAGUGGGGAAUUUUGGACAAUGGGGGCAACCCUGAUCCAGCCAUGCCGCGUGAGUGAAGAAGGCCUUCGGGUUGUAAAGCUCUUUCAGGUGGAAAGAAAUCGCAUCUUUUAAUACAGGGUGUGGAUGACGGUACCAUCAGAAGAAGCACCGGCUAACUACGUGCCAGCAGCCGNCGGUAANUACGUAGGGUGCGAGCGNUUAAUCGGNAANUUACUGGGCGUAAANGCGUGNCGCAGGNCGGUUANUGUAAGACAGAUGUGAAAUCCCCNGGGCUCAACCUGGGAACUGCNGUUUGUGACUGCAUAACUAGAGUACGGCAGAGGGAGGUGGAANUUCCNGCGUGUAGCAGUGAAAUGCGUAGAGAUGCGGAGGAACACCGAUGGCGAAGGCAGCCUCCUGGGCCAGUACUGACGCUCAUGCACGAAAGCGUGGGNAGCAAACGGGAUUAGAGACCCCGGUAAUCCUAGCCGUAAACGAUGUGAACUUGGCGUUGGUGGGUUAAACUCCAUCAGUGCCGAAGCAAACGCGAUAAGUUCACCGCCUGGGGACUACGGNCCGCAAGGUUAAAACUCAAAGGAAUUNGACGGGGGCNCCGCACAANCAGCGGNAGCGUGUGGUUUAAUUCGAUGCUACACGANGAACCUUNACCCAGGCUUNGANCAUACAGGUGGUAGGGAUCCGAAAGGUGACCGACCCGCAAGGGAGCCUGAACAGGUGUUGCAUGGCUGUCGUCAGCUCGUAUCGUGAGAUGUUCGGUUAAGUCCGCUAACGAGCGCAACCCUCGCCGCGUGUUAUAUGUGUCACGCGGGACCGCCGGUAUUAAGCCGGAGGAAGGUGGGGAUGAUGUCAAGUCAGCAUGGCCUUUAUGCCUGGGGCUACACACACGCUACAAUGGGCAGUACAAUGGGUUGCCAAGCCGCGAGGUGGAGCCAAUCCCGCAAAACUGUCCUCAGUUCAGAUUGCAGGCUGCAACUUGCCUGCAUGAAGCCGGAGUUGCUAGUAAACGCGCGUCAGCUAUAGUGCGUUGAAUACGUUCUCGGGCCUUGUACACACCGCCCGUCACGUCAUGGGAGCUGGUAACACCUGAAGCCGGUAGUCUAACCGCAAGGGGGACGCCGUCGAAGGUGGGGCUGGUGACUGGGACG
rnacentral:rRNA from 1 species